UACGUAGGGUGCAAGCGUUGUCCGGAAUUAUUGGGCGUAAAGAGCUCGUAGGCGGUCUGUCGCGUCUGCUGUGAAAACUCGGGGCUUAACCCCGGGCCUGCAGUGGGUACGGGCAGACUAGAGUGCGGUAGGGGAGACUGGAAUUCCUGGUGUAGCGGUGAAAUGCGCAGAUAUCAGAAGGAACACCGGUGGCGAAGGCGGAUCUCUGGGCCGUACCUGACGCUGAGGCGCGAAAGCUAGAGGAGCAAACAGG
rnacentral:rRNA from 1 species